GGAGUCAAGACUAUAUAACCACCACCUUUGUGGCUCGGAUACCAUGUAGAGAAUGACGGAUGCCACAACACCAGAACAAUCCGCUUCUCAAUUAGUGUGACAAUGCCACAUUAGCCCAAGACUCACGUGCAAAUAGAAAGAAGAAGAAGAACCAAGAUGAAAUAGAAGAAAAACUUCAUUAAAGAAAAACAUGGGGCACAAAAAGGCUCUACAAUAUCAAUACACAUGAUUAACCUUAAC
rnacentral:lncRNA from 1 species